UAGCUCUUAUCUAAAAGAGUGAGAUUUCCUGGUGUCCAUGAGGACAGUUAGGAAACGGCAGAAAGGUGAACUGGGAUGGUGCCCUGAGGUUUUAGGAAGUGGGUCCCUGAAGCACGUGCUCGCUAAGAAUAGCUGGAGAUGAAAGGCUAAUUCACAAGAACAUCUUCCCCUUUUGUUCUUUUUCUUUCUUUAUUCUUUUACUAGGUAAAGAGUGGAGGAAUACUGGAAAUGAAUGAAAUUGAUCGGUAGAGGAAGGAGAAAUGCGCUGUCAAAUGAAUCUCAGCUCAGCCAAUUGCUACAGAAGUGAGAAUGGAGGAAAAGCCCCAGGGGGCUGUGCCUGUGCCGCUGUCCAUGCAGAGAUACCAGGUUUUAACGGUGUGACCCAGAUCGGCAGUACCCAGCCAGCAGAGGAGGAGGAGGGGAUCCACACU
rnacentral:lncRNA from 1 species